AUUGAACGCUGGCGGCAUGCUUUACACAUGCAAGUCGAACGGUAACGCGGGGGCAACCCUGGCGACGAGUGGCGAACGGGUGAGUAAUACAUCGGAACGUGCCCAGUAGUGGGGGAUAGCUCGGCGAAAGCCGGAUUAAUACCGCAUACGACCUACGGGUGAAAGCGGGGGAUCGCAAGACCUCGCGCUAUUGGAGCGGC
rnacentral:rRNA from 1 species